UUGGAGGGCAAGUCUGGUGCCAGCAGCCGCGGUAAUUCCAGCUCCAAUAGCGUAUAUUAAAGUUGUUGCAGUUAAAAAGCUCGUAGUUGAAUUUCGGGGUUAGUAGGCUGGUCGUGCCACAGGUAUGCACUGGUCUUACUGAUUCCUCCUUCCUGAUGAACCGUAAUGCCAUUAAUUUGGUGUUGCGGGGAGUCUGGACUGUUACUUUGAAGAAAUUAGAGUGUUUAAAGCAGGCUAACGCUUGAAUACAUUAGCAUGGAAUAACGAAAUAGGACGUUCGAUCCUAUUUUGUUGGUUUCUAGGAUUGACGUAAUGAUUAAUAGGGAUAGUUGGGGGCAUUAGUAUUCAAUUGUCAGAGGUGAAAUUCUUGGAUUUAUUGAAGACUAACUACUGCGAAAGCAUUUGCCAAGGAUGUUUUCAUUAAUCAAGAACGAAAGUUAAGGGAUCGAAGACGAUCAGAUACCGUCGUAGUCUUAACCAUAAACUAUGCCGACUAGGGAUCGGAUGAUGUUAAUUUUUUAAUGACUCAUUCGGCGCCUUACGGGAAAC
rnacentral:rRNA from 1 species